UCCGAAUCCCCUCGGAAGGCUCCCUUCCCAGCAGAAAGGUGGACAAGCAAGGCUCUCAGUCAUUACCAUUCUCUGUGGAGAGGUACCGCACGUUUGUCACACCAUUUCUCAUGCAGCGAUGGACAUGCAUUUUACUCCAUCUUUCUUUUGUUUGUACUAAAGCUUUUUCUUCACAAUCUGUUUUCAAAUCUGUUCAUGUUUUGAAUUUACAAUUGUAGAAUUUGAGUUGGGGGAAAAGAAAAAGAAGCAAAGGUCAUAUUGAUUUUCUUUUAAAAAGAAGAGAAAGAAAUAGCCUAUUCCUUGAUAAAAAUGAGGAAAGUGGAUAAGUAUGAAAUAUAUACAUCUCCACUGGGAAUUUCUAGUAAUUUUCAUGUUAGCUGACUGUGUCAUUCUACCAAAUGGAACUUGCUGAAAUCAUAUAGUUCUUUAAUUAUAAAAUCGAUUUGGGAAAAGAAAAAAGUACUUUAAUUUCUGUUGCUUCAAGGGAUUGUCCAUUCAGAAUAUUUUUCUGGCCACUAUAAAUUGUAUUAGAAACUAAGCUGUAAGAAAUAAAGAUA
rnacentral:lncRNA from 1 species